rnacentral:piRNA from 1 species
GCCGGAAGAGAAGGAACAGAAGA